AAUACAACAUUGCAGCUCGGGAAUAACAAUGAAGACUAGCUCAAUCGUCCGCUUUGAACUUACUUGAUCCAGUACAAGAAACUUGUUUUACUACAGUGCUCUUUAACAAUAGUUUUGUAAGACAUUUGUGUUGCAUAAAAUCGAUAUUGCUAUUGUGCAUACGAUGGAAGAGGAUUUGAUGGAAUACGCCCCAAACAUUCCGGAUAAUGUAUUGGAGCUAAUAUUUUCCUUUCUGAAGCUGCAGGAUCUACGUAACUGUACAUUAGUUUGCAAAAGCUGGUACCGAUUCUUUUGCGAUGAAAACAAUGAAGUUUGGCGCGCACAAUGUUUGCAAAAAGUUCCUGCAGAGGCUUUUAAAAACGAUCUUUUGACUGUUGUGCCGACGUACAAAGCUAAACUGCGAGCAUAUUUCCACGCCUGGAAUCCGUUUGAUUGUAGUCGCCACGUAUAUAUCAAGCCAAAUGGGUUUACUCUUCACAGAAACCCUGUGGCACAAAGUACGGACGGUUCCAGAGGGAAAAUUGGAUUUAAACAUGGCAGGCAUGCCUGGGAAGUACGGUGGGAAGGUCCACUUGGAACGGUAGCAGUUGUAGGAAUUGCUACCAAGGAUGCCGCUAUUCAAUGUCAUGGAUAUUAUGCUUUACUUGGUGCCGACGAUCAAAGUUGGGGAUGGAAUCUGGUAGAUAAUUUGCUACUUCACAACGGAGACGCCCAUGGUAUAUACCCUCUUCUGAAUAAUGCCCCUAAAUAUAAGGUUGGAGAAAGAAUACGUGUAAUACUGGAUUGUGACGAAAAUUCUUUGUCUUUUGAGAAAAACUAUGAAUUUCUUGGAGUUGCAUUUACAGAACACACACACUAGUAAAACCGACAACUACGACAACAAAAUAGCGAAGGCGUUAAAAAGGCUAGCUCGGCCCAUAGCCAUGGGCUGCAGCAAGAAAGGAUCAGCACCGAGGGACGCCGUGCCUUCGUGCUCAUACAUCACGAUACCAAACGUUUCCACAAGUAACGAUUACGAUAUUCUUAGCGAAGAUGAAGAAGCUCCAUCGAUAAUUGCCGCAUCGGCAACGGCAAAACAACAAAAAUAAAAAAUACCACCGAUCACAGUCACCGGCACACAAGUAGGAGAUGUGCACAAAAAAAUCACCUCCGUUGGUGUAGUGAACUACACAACAAACUGCACAUAUAAAGGUAUAGUGGUUAACACUACCACAUCUAAAGAUUUUAAGCUUGUAGUGGACGUGUUGAAGCGCCACAACAAUUCUUUUUACACGCAACUACCGGAAGAAAAAACAACGAAAGUGGUAAUCUUUGGGUUACCCGAGCAAGAUACAGAAUACAUUAAAACCGUUCUUGCUGAAGUCAAUAUCGCACCAUGUGUAAUCAAAAAACUCGAACUCAAGAAAAAACGCUACGACGACCAGUGUAUGUAUCUCCUACACUUCCCUAGAGGGUCAAUAACACUGAGCGAGCUGAAACAGGUUAGAGCAGUAGAUCAUCACCGAGUAUACUUUGAGUACUACUCUAACAAAUACGGUCCAAUGCAGUGUACAAACUGCCAGCGCUACGGACAUGGUAGCGUAAACUGUUAUCUUCCUCCAGUGUGCGUAAAGUGUGCCGAUAAACACACAUCCAAAACGUGUCCACUAAGCCAAACAACAACCUGUCCAGACGGUAAAAUAGCUCCAGCCAAAUUGAAGUGCGCAAAUUGCAGUGAACAUCAUACGGCAAAUUUCUCCGGCUGCCCAGCUACUAGGCUACGGCUUAAAAAGAUUUACCAGAAAAAAAUUUCUAUCCGACUGUUGCUGCGGUGUAUGGAAAUACGGAAAUUUCAAUGGUAUAUUUAGGCGCUCCAUUAGAUGGAUAAAUGGGCUUUCAACGACAGAUUCACAGCGCACUGUUUUGGAAACUUCAGUGCGAAUAUUUAUUGAAUACCGCUUUAGUAUUAUUAUUGUAACUAGUCAAAUAACUUUUUGGAAUCUGCUUUCGUAACCAGGUACUAGCUAUUAUUUAUUUAAAGGUUUUAUUGUAGGUGCAGUCCAUUGAAAUUCCAUUUAUAGGUUUUAUUUAAAUUUAUAUUGUACAAUAUUUAAUAUUGUGAUACAAAAUUUGAUUUAUUAAAACCCGUUAUAAAGUCUGAUUUCAUUAUAGUCUCUCUAGCUUAUUUUGAUUUUCUGUCACCGAAUUUAUGGGGUUGUAGGAGCGAUUGAAAGACGAUGUACACCGUUCUAAGUGUGAACUAAGACUCACUACAUUUAUUCCAUAUUCAGUGUAACCACGGUUGCUGUAACCAAUGGCUACUUGAUUAAAACUAAGAUAUUGCUAUAAGUAAUCCACCACAGGGUUAAUCGACACAAUUGUUCCUUGCUCUGCAGGGUUUUCUAGCCAGCUUAAUACAGUACCCAAACAAUUCAAUCCUGUAAAAAACAUUUCAACUAUCUUAUUAUUCUUCUUUGAGUGAUGGGAUUUGUCCCCCUUUUCAGCGUUGCGAUUUAUCCGGAAAAACCGGCCAAACCGAGAAUCAGCCUGGAAUUUUCUUUUUCCGGAAAAAACUGGGAAUUUUACAAAAAAAACGGUAUUUUAUCACACUUCAUUGGUGGCAUCGCGAAUGGAAGUCAUCAAACAAAAGACGAAUAAAAAAACGACUACAGCUCGAUUACAGUGUUUCAUCGUCAAAUUAAAAAUCGAAGUAGGCUAGGUGCACCAAUUAUGGACGAUUUAGUACAGCGUUUGGACAAAUCAAGAAUUGUGACGAAUUUACUGAAUAAAAUUAAUAAACAGAGGUUAAAUAGAUAGACACAUAUCUUAGCU